AUUGCUUCUGGGGACAGUAAUAAAGGUCUUGGAGGAAUUUUUGAAGGACAUACAAUACAGACCCUUUCCAAAAAUUCAAUUUUUUUGAAUUCCUGUUUUCAUGGGUUUGAUGAGCUGGAAGCCCAAAUUAUGUAAAAAAAAAAAAAAAAAAAAGAUAAUUGAUGGCGUUUGAAUUGUAAAUCUAUAAUCUAUGAAAGUUUAACUUUUUGAAUGGAAUUAUGGAAAUAAAUAAAAUUUUCAUGAUAUUCUAAUUUUUUGGAAAGGGUCUGUGUGAUGCCACCAACAUUUGACAGUUUGCAAAAUGAUAUGCAAUUUCAGGCUUGUCCAGCAGAUGGCGACACAGUACAAAACACCACCAUAGAAGACAGAAAUAUGGAAGGCCUGUUGUAUUUCUUUGCUCGAACAAAAAUACUCAAAAAUUAAAACACCUGGGACAUUUUAUUGUCUCAUUUGCUGGAGUAACUUUUAUUAAGCAACACUGUUAAGUCUUUACAGCCUAAACACACAAACAUGGGGACAGACGACAAGAGUACAAAGCUCACAUUUUUUUACGCCCUGUCCUCGUUGUGACACACACAGCCAUAAAUGAAGCUCUUCGUGUAUUUUGGGCGGUAAGUAAAGUAAUAAAUUGAAAAAAAAUCAGGUUUAAACGGGGGUAAAGGUGGUCUCAGAGUGGAUCAGACUGGAGUUAGCCUUCAUGGGAAAAUGGCGGCCUCAAUGACGGAGCAAAGACGCUGAGUCAAGGGUUUACAGAGAGGCUGCUGCUGCUGCUGCAGUCAUGCUGAAUGUCUCUCUUUUAAUCACAUUUCUGUUUAAAUUAAAGGUUAGUUUUAAGUCUUUUCUGUUUCUGAGUAACUCUAGAUGCUCAAAUACGACGGGUCUGCGGUUAUAGGUGUAAUAUUGAUAAACGUAGGACAACGGCUCGCAUAUCGGCAGACUUUCCGGAUCAUUUUAACCCUGUUUGUAUAUUUACAGGAUAUAUGCUUGGUUAUUAAUAAUGUUAUUUUUCUUUAGGUUACUGUCAUGGAGUAGUAAUCUCUCAGGUGUUAAUAAUGUGACUCUAAUUUCUGUAUGAAGUGUUGAAACAGGCGGACAGACGGACAGCCUGACCUACUGACUGCUGCUUCAGUAGAUUGAUAUUGAUGAAGAGGAGGGUGAGUGUAGGGAAUAGAUGAGGAGCUGGACAUUGUGGGUGGGUGUGGGGGAUGUGCGGGGUUGGGGGGAGGUCGGUGGGGUCAAGGCAGGCAGGGUCCUCCCCUCUUCACCUAUUGGUCGGGGCGGUGGACGGGUCCCGCAGCUUUGAAGCCCUAAGGUGAACAGGAUUCCAGCACGGCCAUGGGGAUUGUAGCAGGUCGUUUGUGAAACAUUUUUGGCGAGAUGGUCCUAAAAAUGGAGAGGCCCGGUAUGCAGGGUUUGAUACUUCGAGAAGCACUCCUGUCCUGUUAAUGGUGGAGAUUACAGACAGGCAGGUGACAGGGCAGCCUCAAUUAGACAGGAGGUGGUGCAGAAAUUAGCCUCGGGUUAGAUUCAGAGGAGAUGGAAGACCUUUUUUUUUUAGUUUGACAAGCGAGUAGAUGAACUAAGAGAAGAUUUCUACAAACUAAAAGAAAAGAGAGGCGUCAAGAGGAAAUACACUCUUUUCACAGCACAAAGAAAUAAUGUGCAGCUAAACACUUUUUUC